CCUACGGGAGGCAGCAGUGAGGAAUAUUGGUCAAUGGGCGGAAGCCUGAACCAGCCAAGUCGCGUGAGGGAAUAAGGCCCUACGGGUCGUAAACCUCUUUUGCCGGGGAGCAAGGGCGGGGACGUGUCCCGGCCCGGAGAGUACCAGGAGAAAAAGCAUCGGCUAACUCCGUGCCAGCAGCCGCGGUAAUAAGGAGGAUGGGAGCUUUAUUCGGAUUUAUUGGGUUUAAAGGGAGCGUAGGUGGAUUGUUAAGGCAGUUGUGAAAGUUUGGGGCUCAACCGUAAAAUUGCAGUUGAUACUGGCAGUCUUGAGUACAGUAGAGGUAGGCGGAAUUCGUGGUGUAGCGGUGAAAUGCUUAGAUAUCACGAAGAACUCCGAGUGCGAAGGCAGCUCACUGGACUGCAACUGACACUGAGGCUCGAAAGUGUGGGUAUCAAACAGGAUUAGAUACCCGGGUAGUC
rnacentral:rRNA from 1 species